ACAAACGUCAACGCGUUGGCGCCGAAAAAGAAUUGUCAUUGUUAGAAAAUUGAUCGAAACUGCGACACGUUUUUUCCUGACCUGGCAGUUAGUUAGUUUUUAGUGAAUAGUUUUAGAGAAAACAUAGGUGAAAUCUAUUUGGCUAGUUGCGCGUGAUUUGAGUGCUCGCGGGUUUGUGAGUCAGAAGAGGUUAGGUGAUAGAAAUUCCUUACUGCGCAAUUUGCCACUAAAAUAUUGUAUUUCCUUUGAUAGUUUGAGUGACCGUUCGGUUGUUCCGGUUAGGUGUACCGGGUUGAGCUCAAUUAGAGCGGUAGGAAAGAAAAAGCGUAAGUACGCAAGAAUACUUGUUUUGUACCCGAUGAUAAAUAUGAUUUUCGUCCAUUAGCUUCAAAUAGCCGGUGAUAUCCGACGGUUUAGGGUUGCCAGAGCUAGAGCUUAGGGUAAACGGCGAAACUUAUUUUCGAGUUCGUUCGCAUACAACGUACUACGGAACAGUUUUUAUUUCCCACAAAUCUCGAAAAUAAAGCUGCAACGAGCAACCUAAACCUGGAACCGAUGAUGGAAGGCCCUACCGGAGAGCUGUUCAACUGCGUGACAUGUCGCCGCCCGGAUUCAGCGCAGAGCAUGGUCGCUUGUGACGAGUGUUCGCAAUGGCAACAUUAUGGAUGCGCCGGUGUUACUGCUACCAUAGCCGAUCGAAGCUGGCUCUGCUGCAGAUGCGUAGCUAGUCACAACGCAGUUAAUUCGACUCAAACCGGCAACAUAAACUCGCCCAAAGCACACACAACAUUUGCUUCAGCUCGCGCUGCUGAACGUGAUGGUAAUACCACCGAUCCAAUAAGUGGGAGAAAGGACGAUCGAAAUUUCGGAAGACUUCAAUCCUCGUCUAAUUCGAAUGCCGGAUCAGUCGUCUCAGUCAAUGCUAUUGCUCAUCUUCGU